GACGGAGGGUGCAAGCGUUGUUCGGAUUGACUGGGUGUAAAGGGCGCGUAGGCGGCUUGGCAAGUUGGGUGUGAAAGCCCAGGGCUCAACCCUGGAAUUGCAUUCAAGACUGCCUUGCUUGAAUUCGGUAGAGGUUGGUGGAAUUCCCAGUGUAGAGGUGAAAUUCGUAGAGAUUGGGAAGAACACCCGUGGCGAAGGCGGCCAACUGGACCGACAUUGACGCUGAGGCGCGAAAGCGUGGGGAGCAAACAGG
rnacentral:rRNA from 1 species